rnacentral:tRNA from 2 species
GGCCGCCUGGCGUAAUGGCAACGCGUCUGACUACGACUGGGUAAUCAGGAGAUUGCAGGUUCGACCCCUGCGGUGGUCA